CUUCUUCAAUUUGCUGGGGGCAGAUGAAAUGGAUGUGAGCAUCAAUACCACCGGCUGUCAGUAUCUGACCUUCGCCGGCGAUGAUUUCAGUGCCGGGGCCGAUAAUGAUAUCCACAUUCGGCUGGAUAUCCGGGUUGCCUGCUUUACCAAUGGCACUGAUGCGGCCGUUUUUGACAGCCACGUCGGCUUUGACGAUGCCCCAGUAAUCGAGGAUCACGGCAUUGGUGAUCACCAGAUCCGGGGUCUGUGAUGAAGGGCGCUGACUUUGGCCCAUGCCGUCACG
rnacentral:sRNA from 1 species